rnacentral:tRNA from 1 species
GCCAUGGUGGUUCUGUGGUAGAAUUCUUGCCUCCCAUGCAGGAGACCUGGGUUUGAUUCCCAGCCAAUGCA